GUUCAUGUGAUCAGUAAGAAUUUUGGCAGCAAGAGAUGGUUGUGGAAUCGUGGUUUCGUGGACUCUUGAAAAUUCCACGGAAGCAUGAGUCAGGUUCUGAAAAGGCAGUGAUUGGAGUUCAGGCCUUUGAAGUUGCUAGCUUGAUGUCUAAGUUGAUUCAUCUAUGGCAGACAUUAAGUGAUAAACAGGUUUCUAGGUUGAGAGAGGAGAUAUCAAAUUCCGAGGGUAUAAAAAAGCUUGUAUCAGAAGAUGAUGAUUUUAUUGUUCGUUUGAUUUGUGUAGAGUUGUUUGAGAGUAUGAUACAUGUGGCGAAAUCUGUGGUCAGAUUGGGGAAGAAAUGCUCUGACCCAACUCUGAAGAGUUUCGAGCAUGUUUUUGAGGAAUGGAUCAAGCUUGGCACUGAUCCAUAUGGGUGGGAGUUUUCGUAUAGGAAGAUGGAUAAGAAAGUUAAGAAGAUGGAACAUUUCAUUUCAAUCAAUGCUACAUUGUAUCAAGAGAUGGAAAUGCUUUCAGAUCUUGAGCAGACUGUGAAGAGAAUCAAAGGUAAUGAUCCGGAGCCUGAUAAUUUGCUUAAUUGUCAGAAGAAGCUUGUGUGGAAACAGCAGGAAGUGAAAAAUCUUAGGGAGAUCUCACUUUGGAACAGAACAUAUGAUUAUACUGUCCGCCUUCUAGUGAGAUCACUGUUCACAAUAUUCAGUAGAAUGAAUCAUGUCUUUGGCUUUAAUCUGUUGGUUUCCACAGAGCACUCAAAAGUUGUGAAUUCUGAUUAUAUUAAUCGCAGCCAGUCAGUUUCUGCACUAAUGGAGUCAGUUCAUUCUUCGGAGAGCAGUAGCAUUCCUAGAUUUUCUUCUGGUCCCCUUGGUGGAUUUAUUGCAAAAUCGGGUCCAAUUUCAAAAUCAAAUAAAACCAAUCAUUUCUAUUCUGGUCCUCUUGGUGGUCCAACUGCAAAGUCUGGCCCUAUUUCUGGAAAGAAUAGGAAUAUGAACUUUUUUUCAGGUCCUCUUGGAAAGCCAAC
rnacentral:misc_RNA from 1 species